rnacentral:rRNA from 1 species
AUAAGCAAAGUAAGGGCGUAUGGGGAAUGCCUAGGCUCUCAGAGACGACGAAGGACGUGAUAAGCUGCGAUAAGUUGCGGGGAUUGGCACAUACAAAUUGAUCCGCAAAUUUCCGAAUGGGGCAACCCAGCUAGUUGAAGACUAGUUACUCCGCAAGGAGGGUAAACCCGGAGAACUGAAACAUCUAAGUACCCGGAGGAAGAGAAAACAAUAGUGAUUUCGAUAGUAGCGGCGAGCGAAAUCGAAUUAGUCCAAACCAGUGUUGUUACGGCAAUACUGGGGUUGUAGGACCACAAUAUUUGAUGCACAAUGAAUUAGAACACUUUGGAAAGAGUGGCCAUAGACGGUGAUAGCCCGGUAUAAGUAAAGAGUGUUAUUGAUAGUGGUAUCCUGAGUAGUGCGGGGCACGUGAAACCCUGUAUGAAUCCGGCGGGACCAUCCGCCAAGACUAAAUACUCCUGAGAGACCGAUAGUGAACUAGUACCGUGAGGGAAAGGUGAAAAGAACCCUGAAUAAGGGAGUGAAAUAGAUCCUGAAACCAUACGCUUACAAGCGGUCGGAGCCAAUUUAUUGGUGACGGCGUGCCUUUUGCAUAAUGAGCCUACGAGUUACUGUUACUAGCAAGGUUAAAUUUUUAAGAAAUGGAGCCGUAGCGAAAGCGAGUCUGAAUAGGGCGACCAUAGUUAGUAGUAGUAGACGCGAAACCGUGUGAUCUACCCAUGGGCAGGGUGAAGCUUUGUUAAUCCAAAGUGGAGGCCCGAACCGAUAUACGUUGAAAAGUGUUCGGAUGACCUGUGGGUAGGGGUGAAAGGCCAAUCAAACUCGGAAAUAGCUCGUACUCCCCGAAAUGCAUUUAGGUGCAGCGUAUACAUAGUUUUAUAGAGGUAGAGCUACUGAUUGGAUGCGGGGGCUUCACCGCCUACCAAUUCCUGACAAACUCCGAAUGCUAUAAAAUGUUUGUAUGCAGUGAGGGCAUGGGUGCUAAGGUCCAUGUCCGAGAGGGAAAGAACCCAGACCAUCAGCUAAGGUCCCAAAAUGUAUGUUAAGUUGAAUAAACGAGGUUGGAUUGCCCAGACAGCUAGGAUGUUGGCUUGGAAGCAGCCAUUCAUUUAAAGAGUGCGUAACAGCUCACUAGUCGAGCGGUUUUGCAUGGAUAAUAAUCGGGCAUAAACAUAUUACCGAAGCUAUGGAUUUGUAUUAUAUACAAGUGGUAGGGGAGCAUUGUAAUCUGCGUAGAAGGUGUGCUGUCAGGCAUGCUGGAGUGAUUACAAAAGAAAAUGUAGGCAUAAGUAACGAUAAAGGGGGCGAGAAACCCCCUCACCGAAAGACUAAGGUUUCCUCAGCGAUGCUAAUCAGCUGAGGGUUAGUCGGGUCCUAAGGCGAAUCCGAAGGGAGUAGUCGAUGGAUAACAGGUUAAUAUUCCUGUACUUCUUAUAAUUGCGAUGGGGUGACGGAGUAUUGAAAGCACCGCGAACUGACGGAAUAGUUCGUUAAAGUAUGUAGCUAUAGAACCAGAUUAAGAGUUAGGUUUUGGCAAAGUACGAUAGUACCACAAAGCUUCGGCAGCGUGGAUAGUGUGCCUAAAAGCUUCCAAGAAAAACCUCUAAGCUUCAGAUUAUAAGAACCCGUACCGUAAACCGACACAGGUAGUUGGGAUGAGAAUUCUAAGGUGCUCGAGAGAUUCAUGGCUAAGGAACUAGGCAAAAUCGACCCGUAACUUCGGGAGAAGGGUCGCCCAUCUUCGGAUGGGCCGCAGUGAAAAGAUCCAGGCGACUGUUUAUCAAAAACACAGGGCUAUGCUAAAUCGAAAGAUGACGUAUAUGGCCUGACACCUGCCCGGUGCCGGAAGGUUAAGAGGAGGGGUUAGCUUCGGCGAAGCUCUGAAUUGAAGCCCCGGUAAACGGCGGCCGUAACUAUAACGGUCCUAAGGUAGCGAAAUUCCUUGUCGGGU